UACGGAGGGUGCAAGCGUUAUCCGGAAUCACUGGGUUUAAAGGGUGCGUAGGCGGUGGUGUAAGUCAGUUGGGAAAUGCCCCGGCUUAACCGGCGGAACUGCGAUUGAUACUGCAUCACUUGAAUCAGGAUGAGGUAGGCGGAAUGUGGCAUGUAGCGGUGAAAUGCUUAGAUAUGCCAUAGAACACCGAUUGCGAAGGCAGCUUGCUGGGCCUGAAUUGACGCUGAGGCACGAAAGCGUGGGGAGCACACAGG
rnacentral:rRNA from 1 species